GACGAACGCUGGCGGCGUGCCUUAUACAUGCGAGUCGAGCGCAGGAAGCUGACGGAACUCUUCGGAGGGAAGGCAGUGGAAUGAGCGGCGGACGGGUGAGUAACACGUAAGGAACCUGCCUCAAGGAUUGGGAUAACUCCGAGAAAUCGGAGCUAAUACCGGAUAGUUCAACGGACCGCAUGGUCCGCUGAUGAAAGGCGCUCCGGCGUCACCUUGAGAUGGCCUUGCGGUGCAUUAGCUAGUUGGUGGGGUAACGGCCCACCAAGGCGACGAUGCAUAGCCGACCUGAGAGGGUGAUCGGCCACACUGGGACUGAGACACGGCCCAGACUCCUACGGGAGGCAGCAGUAGGGAAUCUUCCACAAUGGACGAAAGUCUGAUGGAGCAACGCCGCGUGAGUGAUGAAGGUUUUCGGAUCGUAAAACUCUGUUGUAAGGGAAGAACACGUACGAGAGGGAAUGCUCGUACCUUGACGGUACCUUACGAGAAAGCCACGGCUAACUACGUGCCAGCCGCCGCGGUAA
rnacentral:rRNA from 1 species